GGAAUCAAUAAACAUCUUUUGUUCUUUUUUUCUUUUAAUGUAUGAAUAAUUUCAUGAUCUCAUUAUUAUGUGACAAAAUUGGGAAUGUAGAGACAUUAAGGCUGCAAGAUGGAUGAUAGAAGCAUAAACUUGAAAAUGGGAACAGCCCUAAUACCAAAGUCACUGCUCAGAUGAGAGACACCCAAAAAGCCAGCAGAUCAGGAACAUUCAUACUUGAUUCUGAGAUUUGAAAAGAAAGCUAAAAGAACAUAUUCUGAAGGCUGGAAAUGUGGAACCUGCUGAUUUUAUAGAAGAAAAAUAAAAACAUUUAGAUAUCUGUCUGUUUACAUUGUUAAGGGAGUGCAUGUCAAAAUAAAAGUCA